rnacentral:rRNA from 1 species
GUGCCAGCAGCGGCGGUAAUACGUAGGGUGCAAGCGUUAAUCGGAAUUACUGGGCGUAAAGCGUGCGCAGGCGGUUCGGAAAGAAAGAUGUGAAAUCCCAGAGCUCAACUUUGGAACUGCAUUUUUAACUACCGGGCUAGAGUGUGUCAGAGGAGGUGGAAUUCCGCGUGUAGCAGUGAAAUGCGUAGAUAUGCGGAGGAACACCGAUGGCGAAGGCAGCCUCCUGGGAUAACACUGACGCUCAGGCACGAAAGCGUGGGGAGCAAACAGGAUUAGAUACCCUGGUAGUCCACGCCCUAAACGAUGUCAACUAGCUGUUGGUUCUUCGGAACUUAGUAGCGCAGCUAACGCGUGAAGUUGACCGCCUGGGGAGUACGGUCGCAAGAUUAAAACUCAAAGGAAUUGACGGGGACCCGCACAAGCGGUGAUGAUGUGGAUUAAUUCGAUGCAACGCGAAAAACCUCCUACGCUUGACAUGUCUGGAAUCCUGGAGAGAUCCGGGAGUGC